CAGGAAAUGUAAAUCUAGCUACACUAAGGUGAAUAAACAUUUAUAUACAACUGUUUUGUUUUUUUCCAACAGCAAAAAAACCGGCCCUGCAACUCCAUUUCUCUCAUGCUCAUUAUCUCACUGCUUUGCGGUAAUCUAAGAGAAAUAAAAAACAUCACAGAAGCCCUAGCCAUGACAACCUGAAAACACAUAUCAAACAUUGGACAGAUGAUUUAUCCCAACCCUAUUUUAAACAGAAUGUGUAUCAAUAAAACGUUUUAUUGAAAAA